AGAACCCUGGAAAUGGUCAGUGACAAAGGUUAUUUAAAAAAAAAAAAGUUUUUCUUUUCUUUUUUAAGAUUUUAUUUAUUUAUUUGAGAGAAAGAGAGUGAGUGAGAAAGAGACGAGCAGGGGGAGGGGCAGAGGCAGAGGGAGAGCCUCUGAGCCCCGGUUCCCCACUGAGCAAGGAGCCUGAUAUGGGACUUCAUCCCAGGACCCCAGAAUCAUGACCUGAGCCGAAGGCAGAUGCUUAAUCAACCGAGCCACCAGGGGUCCCAAAAGAAAUCUUUCUUGAUAGUUCCUAUGAAAAAUUGCUUUUACUCUAAUGUGAUUAAUGUAAUUUUCUUACAUCUAAAGGAUCACUUUUUUAUCAAUAACUCUGAAAAGACACUAGAUGCAUUUUACUCUCCACUAUGGUACUCAUGCUGGUUAUACUCUCCGUGGAAUCCCCAUUAGCAGCCAUUGCUGAGAAGCUCUCUGUCUGAACUAUGGGGUCAAAGCUCUAGCCUGGGAGAGAGAAUGGUUUGCGGCUGGUGUCUCCUCUAAAUGGCAAUGUCCUUGCCUUCUGAGGCAUUGAGUCGGAUCAUCUGGGACUGUUCUGUGUUGCUCGUCAGGCAGAAGCAUCAUGAAGGACUUCAGAGUGUGUAGGUUCCUGACCAAGAUAGACCUGGAUUAGAAUCUUAACUCCUCCAUUACCUGUCUGAAAGAACCUUCCAAAGUCUCAAUUUCCUCUCUGCCUCAGGCAUCCUUAGGACAAAUUAGAACCAAAUGGGACGAGGCUACCUAUUGCACAAGCAGAACAAAUGAAAACAUUACGGAAGAAGAAGUGUUCUGUGAUUUUAUGAAAUUGUCAGGGGCUAAUUUAAUAGCUCCAUUUCAGGCCAUUCUAGUCUUUGUGGACUAGAGACAGAAAAAAAGAAAAAAAAAAGACAACCAUAGGAUAACUUCCUUCCUUCCUUCCUUCCUUCCUUCCUUCCUUCCUUCCUUCCUUCCUUCCUUCUUCCUUCUUUUCUUUCUUCUUUUUCUUUCUUUCUUCUUUCUCUUCCUUUCCUUCCUUCCCUCUUUCUUUCUUUCUUUCUUUCUUUCUUUCUUUCUUUCUUUCUUUCUUUCUUUCUUUCUUCUUUCUUUCUUCUUUCUUUCUUCCUUCUCUCCUGGCUAGGUAUGAUGUGGAAAAUGAUAUUUCUUCAUCAGAGUGAAAGCAAGUUUCUUUCUCCUUGUCUGAGAGUGCAUGCACAAAUAUAAAGGGCUGAUCAACACAUUCAUUUCUGGACAAUAAAUGCAUUGCAAUGGGUCUCCUUAUUAGAAUAAGGUAGAUUAUUCUGCUAAUUGUCUGGCACCAUGAAUCACCUGAUGCUAAUCCUCUGACUGGGGACACCUGGCAGUUCUCAGCCUUGUGGGAGAGUUGAUUGAAUGGCACGGGGCCUGGGCUCUUUCCUUCCCACUGCCCCCCACACUUUUGUGUGGUUUGGGGCUGCUUUUAUGAGACAGGGAGAUUUUCUUUCAGGAAAAUAUGGUGAACUAAAAAGUCCUUUGUGUCUUCCCUAACCUGGGGAGAGGGAUUUCAAAUCCCCUUAGUCUGGAAGGCAAGGGUGGCUGAAAGCUAACAAAGGAAACCAUUUUAAGCUUGAUGAGCUGAGAGAAGGGAGACUAUUUGAAGCUCUGGAAAAAUCCCAAAAGGUUGGCUUUUCUCCUUUUUAAUAUAAAUGUGUGACUAGACUCUAAGAGCCCAUGUGAUCUGUAUGCUCCUGGUGGGUAUAGGUCUUGAAGGCUGCUACUGUUAACAGCUAAGGGCCAUGCUCACCCUCUUGAGAUCCAGCCAGCGAUGUGGCUGUAUGAGGGACAGGUUUAUGCCUGGAGCAAGAAUAACCUUAAGAAUCACCUAAUUAAACAUAUCAUAAUGUCAGCUCAUGGUGCAUACACUUUUCUUUAGAAAAAUGUGAUACUUGUCCUGGAAUGGGACAAAAUAUGUAUUUUUUUGCAUUUAAUAUCAACAUGUUACAAAGCCUUAACAUUUUAAUUAAAAAUUCUGCCUUUUGUAUUUUCCCCAGGUUCUAGAUUAAUUUUCAAAGUGUGGAAAGAAAUCCUGGGCUUCCCACAUCCUGCCACUGGCUCCCUACUCUUUCCUCCACUCUGGAGUGCAAUCAUGCAGUCCUAACACUUGGAGGGGAGUGCUCUCUGAACCACCACUGGGACCCUGGGGGCUUGUUGGUUAUUUUUGCAUGGGGGCAUUAAAAUGCCAGCCAUCAGUUUGUGUCUCCUGGUGAAGACAUCUGUAUGCGGAAGAGGCAAGCUUCAGCCUCGUUCAAAGGGGUUUUGCAAGUGCAAAUUAUGGGAACCCAAGAGAAUUAGCUCUAUUUCUUUAAAUAAAUC